AGCCAAGAUCUCCACUGCGGCACCGGCUCCGGUUCAUCACCAGAUGGCAGCCGUUCAUUCCCCAAAUCCGGCGCCGCUGCAGCAGCAGGUUCCGGUCCGAACCGAAGCCUCCCCUGCCUCCACCUUCGAUCCGCCACCGCCGCCCAACAGAAGAACGACACCGGCACCAGGGCCGAAAUCCUCCAAGAUCCGGAGGUAGCGGGAAAUCCCCCUUCGCCGUCCCCAUCGCUACUCCAAGCCCACCUCCAGUUUUGCCAACCAGCAGGGUUUCCAGAUUUGGAUGCCUGCUGUUCCUCUCUGGAAUGAGCCUUUUUCCACAAAUAUCUUUUUUCCCCAAGUUCUCACAUUCCAUAAACCUCAAGUUACAUGCGAACCAGUCUCGGCACACCCAGUGCCAGGACUAGUUCAAAUGCUGUCUAAAUUUACUUAGAGUCGCUAUUGUUCACAUAUAUAAUAUAUUUGCAUGUGCUUACGCAACAUAAUUUUCCUCAAGUUAUAUUUGAACUAAUCUCGGCAAUUCAAUUGCUGGAAACUAGUUUAAAUAUUGGCGGUCAAGUUUACUAAACAGUCCCUAUAUUUAAGAUGUUUAUGUAGAUAGUGCUUCCCACGGAAUCCAGAACUGCGGUCGCAUAAGAAAUUUUUUCGAAAAAGAGGUACUGUAAGAAAUUCAAAUUGUAAUUUCUUCUUUGAUUUUGAGCAUAAUGAUGGAUUCUGAUAAUUAUGUAGAAGCGUAGGCAACCAAUAUGAUAAAAUAGCCGUAGAUAAUGUAGGGAAGUUAGAAUUCAUCAUUAUUUAUAAAGCAUAAUUUAUUUCAAGAUUGUUAAGAAUUAUUCAGCUUGGUGGGUAAUGAAAUAUAUAUAGCUCCUUGAAAUAUGUUGUUUUGGUGGUAGGACUUGUACAAUUUUUUUAUUAAAAACCUUGAUGUAAAUGUUGUUGAUAUUUUUAGGGAAAUUAAUCUAGUUGUUGCUGUGCUUAAAUAUUGAUUGAAUCCCAUACCAAGUAGAUGAUCUUGAACAAACUUUCAAUCCCAAGGAAAGCUAAAGGAUAAGUUAGUUUUGUAUAUGCUUAUGUCAGUCCUUGCUGCACUCUGAUUUGAGAGCUCCUGGAAAUGUCAGUGCUGGAAUUGAAUCCAUUGUCUCUGAGGCACUGCAAGUCUUGGUCCGAUGCUGGCUCUUUCACUCCUUAGCUACUUGUGGCAACCAUGCUUACCUUGGCCUGGUCCGAUGAAUCAUUCAGACGUUCAGGACCACUCGAAGAAAGAAGCAUAGGUUUCACAAAAAAAAAGAAAAGAAGAAGCAGCAUAUGUCAUGAAGACGAUGAUGGAUAGUGAGAUAGUCAAGCAACUUGUGGAGCCAAUUUGUGGUUGUGUUGCUUCAUGCAUUAAGAGUGUCGUUACCAGAGAAAGCGAUCUUAGUCUUGGAUUUUGGAUUCAUCACGACUUGUGAAGGCCAUGCUGGUCUCAUGCCUGUCAGAAUCUUAAUGAAGUAAACAAUAAAACGGUUUGGCGGUCA